GCCCAGAGUCCGCGGCCGACGCAAGGGGUAGUGCCUUCUGGGUAGUGCAGUUUUUCCCUUACAUCUACCGGGUGUGGGAACUCACCCAGCGCAUCCAACUGCACGGACGAUGCUGAGGAGACCCCCCUGACCCAAAGGAAAUAGACUGCAGUACUGAUUGGACGACUUUGGGGCAAUGGUGCCACAAGCCAGAUCACUGGGACCACUCAGAGAAGGGGAACACAGAAGCCUGGCGUGCCAGCAAAAGGAGUCAAGGAAACUUUUCAUUUGAGCUAUUUACAGCUUUUACCAGUUGAAUAUACUCCUAUGAACAAAAUUUGGAACAUAUUUGUUUCUCUGAACCUGAUUUCUCCAGAAUUUGGAAACUAGUUUGAUACGGAAGCUAUACUCCACAGUGUUGCAGACAAGAAUACAGGCUCUCCCAGCCGGGCGCGGUGGCUCAAGCCUGUAAUCCCAGCACUUUGGGAGGCCGAGGCGAGUGGAUCACGAGGUCAGGAGAUCGAGACCAUCCAGGCUAACACGGUGAAACCCCGUCUCUACUAAAAAUACAAAAAAUUAGCAGGGCGUGUUGGCGGGCACCUGUAGUCCCAGCUACUUGGGAGGCUGAGGCAAGAGAAGGGCUUGAACCUGGGAGGCGGAGCUUGCAGUGAGCCGAGAUUGCGCCACUGCACUCCACCCUGGGGGACAGAGCAAGACUCUGUCUCAAAAAAAAAAAAAAAAGAAUACAGGCUCUCCCUCUCAGCUUCCAUACAGAGGGCUGUCUUCCCAGCAGGGUAGGAUGUCAGCGUUUCUUAUCUUACCACCGGACACUUGCUGAGGCUAAAUCCCUAGUGAGUGCAGCCCCAGAGGCAGGAGCUCCCUUCCUCCACCCAUCCGGUGUUGGUGAGAUGAAGGCUCUUCCUUGGGCACCGUGAUGCUGGGUACUGGGGAUUCAUCACACUUGCCCACUGAAAGUCUGUAGUAGUGUACCAUGACAGGGCAGCUGAAAAGACAUGAGGCCACUGGCCACCCACUACCACUGAGCACUCAGCCCUCAAAGCAGGGAUGUCAGAAGUGGGCCAUGGUUCUCACUCCCAGCUUUAGAGCCCAGAUCCAGAGAUAUUGCCUGAGGGGACAAGCAGAGAGCCUGGAAAGAAACAUGUGGAGGUACGCCAACCUGACGUAGAACAAAUAUCAAACAGUUUGGGAACCCAAAAAGCCUGAUUUUUUUUUUUUUUUUUUGAGACGGAGUUUUGCUCUGUCACCCAGGCUGGAGUGCAAUGGCGUGAUCUUGGCUCACUGAAACCUCCGCCUCCUAGGUUCAAGCGAUUCUCCUGCCUCAUCCCAAGUAGCUAGGAUUACAUUUUUGUAGUUUUUAGUAGAGACAGGGUUUCACCAUGUUGGCCAGGCUGGUCUCGAACUCCUGACCUCAUGUGAUCCACCUGCCUUGGCCUCCCAAGGUGCUGGGACUACAGGUGUGAGCCACCGUGCCUGGUCAAGCCUGAUAAAAAGCUUUGGAGCAAUUUAUGCCUCUGGGUAUUGUUGAAAGUGGUGUCAUUCUGUACUGUCUUCUUAAACCACAUCAGUGGUCUAUAGUGGAGAAUCAAGAAUACCCAGGCUGUCUGGUUACGGAGGUAAUAUAUGAGUUCCAACCCUAAAAUUCAUCUGGAAUCCCCUGCUUCCUCUUCAUCUCAAGUCUCACUUCAUAGGGAAUCCUUUCAUAACUAGUGUUUGCUCCAGUCAUCUCCCUUCAUUCCUUUCAUUCCUCUUUUCUUUCCUUCUCCUUUCAUUCCUUGUAGCUUCUCCUUUCAUUCCCUGUAGAAUCUGUCUUGUUCUCAUGGAGUCAGGAGCAGAAAUAUAUCUCUGGGCCAAAACCAUGACUUUCAGUCUUGAACUGGAAGUUUCCCCUGAAGCCAUAGGCUGGUUGCUGAGAGAAGAGAAAGGGAAAUGGCCUUAACAGCCAGGGGUGACCCAGCAGUCCUACAGUAACAGUCCUACAGUGGUGCCAGGAGACCAUGGGGAUUUUGCAGCCUCGUUAUAAAAUCCACUGAACAUUCACUCUACAAAUACUUCUUAGAGAAGCUGAGGGAAGGCACUUUGCAAGAUAAUGUAAAAGAUAGUGUUGAGCCAGUCCCACCUAGGUUGUAGACAUGUGGUCCAGGUAAUGAGCCUCAGCUUGUAUCAACCAUUCCCUUCUCAUAGAGGCCUCUCCAGAUCUCUCUUUUUUUUUUUUCUUUUGAGAUGGGGUCUUGCUGUGUAACCCAGGCUGCAGUACAGUAGCAGGGUCAUAGCUCACUGCAGCCGCCACCUCCUAGGCUCAUGUGAUCCUCUCACCUCAGCCUCCUGAGUAACUGGGAUACAGGCCCACACCAACACACCCAACUAAUUUUUUUUUAUUUUUUGUAGAGAUGGGGUCUCACUGUGUUGCCCAGCUCGUCUCAAAACUCCUGGGCUCAAGUGUGGAUCUCUUCAUCUAAAGUAGCUCCCCCAGCCAGGUGUGGUGGUCUGUAAUCCCGACACUUGGAGAAGCCAAGGUAGGAGGAUCACUUGAGCCCAGGAGUUCAAGACCAGCCUGGGCAACAUAGUGAGACCCCGUCUCUGUGAAAAAUUUAAAAAUUAGCCAGGCAUGGUGGUGGAUACCUAUAGUCCUGGCUACUCGGGAGGCUGAGGGAGGAGGAUCACUUGAGCCACGGUGGCGCAGGCUGCAGUGAGCCAUGAUUGUGCCACUGCAUUCCAGCCCGGGCAACAGAGUGAGAGAACCUGUCUUUAAAAAAUAAUAAUAAAAAUUUUAAAGUAGUCCCUCACCCCAAUAUUACUCUGUUCUACUUUUCUUUAGGACAUUCAUAACCAUUUGAAAAUAUAUUUUUAUAUAUUUACUCACUUUUAAUUAAUUAACUCAACAAGUACUUGACUAUCUUGUGAUAGGCUCUGCUCUAAACAGUGGAGAUACAGAGCUGGGCCUGGUGGGAUUGUUCCUGUAGUCCUAGCUACUCAGGACACUGAAACAGGAGGAUCGCUUGAGACCAGGAGUUUGAGACCAGGAGUUUGAGACCAGCCUGGGCUAUCUAGCGAAACCCUGUUUCUAAACAAAAAAAAACAAAAAGUCACAAUGGAGACACAUACAUAACAAACACACACACACACACACACACACAAAAUAAUAAUAAUCCCAAACUCCCAAACAAUAUAGAAGAUUAGGAGUGUUGUGGAGAUAAGACAAACUAGAGCAAAUUAACAAUCAGUGAGUGGGAUAAAGCCAGUUGUGCAAUACAGAGUGGUUGGGACAGGUCUAAUAAGACAGUUAGGCCGGGCGCGGUGGCUCUUGCCUGUAAUCCCAGCACUUUGGGAGGCUGCGACGGGUGGAUCAUGAGGUCAGGAGAUCGAGACCAUCCUGGCUAACAUGGUGAAACCUCGUCUCUACUAAAAAUACAAAAAAUUAGCUGGCCGUGGUGGUGGGCACACCUGUAAUCCCAGCUACUAGAGAGGCUGAGGCAGGAGAAUCACUUGAACCCGGGAGGCGGAGGUUGCAGUGAGCCGAGAUCACGCCACUGCUCUCCAGCCUGGGCGACAGAGUGAGAUUCCGUCUCAAAAGAAAAAAAAAAAAGUUAUGUUUUAGCAUGGACUUAGAGGAAUUAAGGACUCAUGGAGAUCUGAGGAAACAGUGUUAUCACUCAGAGAAAACACACAGGACAAUGGAACUGACAGAGCAUCCUGGGUGUUUGAGGAACACCAAGAAGCCUAGUGUGGCUGGAACUGAAUAUGCAUGGAAGUUGGAGAGAUAGAUGGAAACAAACUGUGUAGUCUUUUAUGCCAGUGUAGAGAGGUUGUAAUAUGUUCGUAUGUGUUCAAAAAUGUACCUGGGGUUUUUUGCAGUAUGGUCUGAUAAGAAACUCAGACAUGCAAAUGAUUGCCAGGAAGGAAGAACUUUAAACUCAACGGAGUUUUAGAAACAGUAGGCAAAACACAUCCUGCAGGGCUAUGUGAGAAGCACCAGGGUGGUAUAGGAAGCAGAAGCAGAGGAGAAAGCAGAGGCCAGAUCCUUUAUUGUGUUUUCCACAGGAAAAGAAAGGCAGGGCUGGGUAACCAGAAGAGGAUUUGCUGGUUUGAAUAAAGUUGGUAGACUUUGGGGUCUAGAAGCUGUCCCUGUCUGCCGAGUACCUGGCCCUGGAGUCAUUAGAGCAAAAAAAAAAAAAAAAAAAUUGUCUCCUGUAGUGUAAGAGCCAGACAGAGGAGAUGAUUCACAUUAGGGGAUUCUGGAUUUGUUAGUAUGCAAAUAAAAGGCAUGGUUCAGAGUGAGUCAUUUGCAAUCUCUAAGAAUCAGUUAACUCUAAAUGGCAAGGUCCCAAAUUCCAGAGCAUCAAGAAUGCAGAAAAUAAGAAAAUAUAGCUAAUACACUGUGAAAUGGGUAGCCAUCAUGGGGUUUUGAGCAGACCUGUGAUGUUAUCUGAUUUAUGUUUUUGUUUGUUUUUUGAGACGGAGUCUUGCCCUGUCACCAGGCUGGAGUAUGAUGGCGUGAUCUCAGCUCACUGCAACCUUCUCCUCCUGGGUUCAAGCGAUUCUCCCACCUCAGCCUCCAGAGUAGCUGGGAUUACAGGCAAGUGCCACCACG